rnacentral:rRNA from 1 species
GAUGAACGCUGGCGGCGUGCCUAAUACAUGCAAGUCGAGCGAACAGACGAGGAGCUUGCUCCUUUGACGUUAGCGGCGGACGGGUGAGUAACACGUGGGUAACCUACCUAUAAGGCUGGGAUAACUUCGGGAAACCGGAGCUAAUACCGGAUAAUAUUUCGAACCGCAUGGUUCGAUAGUGAAAGAUGGCUUUGCUAUCACUUAUAGAUGGACCUGCGCCGUAUUAGCUAGUUGGUAAGGUAACGGCUUACCAAGGCAACGAUACGUAGCCGACCUGAGAGGGUGAUCGGCCACACUGGAACUGAGACACGGUCCAGACUCCUACGGGAGGCAGCAGUAGGGAAUCUUCCGCAAUGGGCGAAAGCCUGACGGAGCAACGCCGCGUGAGUGAUGAAGGUCUUCGGAUCGUAAAACUCUGUUAUUAGGGAAGAACAAACGUGUAAGUAACUGUGCACGUCUUGACGGUACCUAAUCAGAAAGCCACGGCUAACUACGUG